UACGGAGGGUGCUAGCGUUGUUCGGAAUUACUGGGCGUAAAGCGCGCGAUGGCGGUCUAUGAAGUCUGGUGUGAAAGCCCCCCGCUUAACGGGGGAAGUGCAUUGGAAACCAAUAGGCUUGAGUACGGUAGGGGAUCGAGGAAUUCCUGGUGUAGCAGUGAAAUGCGUAGAUAUCAGGAAGAACACCGGCGGCGAAGGCGUCGAUCUAAGCCGUUACUGACGCUUAGGCGCGAAAGCGUGGGGAGCAAACAGG
rnacentral:rRNA from 1 species